GUCUACAGCCGUGCCACCCUGAACAAGCCCAAUGUCUGAUCUCAGAAGAUAAGCAGGGUUAGGCCUGGUUAGUACUUGGAUGGGAGACCACCUAGGAAAAAUAGGUGUUGUAGGCA
rnacentral:rRNA from 1 species